rnacentral:sRNA from 1 species
AGGCGCCGGGCAUUUCGGGCGCCUCUUCGUAGAUAGGCAAUCCGUCCGGGCUCAUGAUGCGCAAUGCGCCCCAGGCCCUGAUCAGCCGU